GUGUCAGCAGCCGCGGUAAUACGGAGGAUGCGAGCGUUAUCCGGAUUUAUUGGGUUUAAAGGGUGCGUAGGCGGACUUUCAAGUCAGCGGUAAAAUUUCCGGGCUUAACCUGGUUGUGCCGUUGAAACUGAGAGACUGGAGUGCGCUUGAGGUAGGCGGAAUGCGUUGUGUAGCGGUGAAAUGCAUAGAUAUGACGCAGAACUCCGAUUGCGAAGGCAGCUUACCAAAUCGCUACUGACGCUGAGGCACGAAAGCGUGGGGAUCGAACAGGAUUAGAUACCCUGGUAGUCCACGCAGUAAACGAUGAGCGCUAAUUGUUCGAUGGGAGACCAUUGAGUGAUACAGCGAAAGCGUUAAGCGCUCCACCUGGGGAGUACGCCGGCAACGGUGAA
rnacentral:rRNA from 1 species